UACGUAGGGUGCGAGCGUUGUCCGGAAUUAUUGGGCGUAAAGAGCUUGUAGGCGGUCUGUCGCGUCUGCUGUGAAAAUCCGGGCUCAACCCGGACUUGCAGUGGGUACGGGCAGACUAGAGGUGUGGUAGGGAGACUGGAAGUUCCUGGUGUAGCGGUGAAAUGCGCAGAUAUCGGGAAGAACACCUAUGGCGAAGGCAGCUCUCUGGGA
rnacentral:rRNA from 1 species